GGCGCCGCGAGCCCCGGCCUCCCUCCCCGGCCGCGGACGUGCCGCGGGGGCCUGCGCGGUUCUCCACCCGAGCGACAACCAGCCUGCCCCGUUGGCCUGAGAGUGGGGCCGAUCGUCAGAGCGCGGCGCCGGCGCGGCCCUGCAGCUCCACUUCCGCCUCAGGUCGAGGGGUCCGGCUCCGGUUCCUUAGCUUCCCCGCAGCCGGGCCCGUCAGGCUUCCCAGGUCGACGGAAUUCCCAAGUCGGAAGGCGCGCCCUGGCCUCGGGUCCGAGCCGGCCGUUCGGGGAGCUUGCGGCCUCAGAAGCCUGGACAAGCACAUCCGGUGGAGAACCUGAAGGGAGCGCGCAGCAGAGCUGGUCUCCAGGGCGUCGACAAAAAUCACAGUCGACCUUUCCACGGAAGAGGCGGCACUUCAGCUUCUGAGGAGCUCUUGGCCUCCCUGAUGAAUAUUUAAUAAGAUAAUACACU